UUACAGUUCGAGCUCUCUUACAGUCAGGAGCUCCAACUAUCGGAAAUUAUUUGUUUUACAAAAAAAAAAAAUAAGAAAAAAUGUGAGAAAAAUACGUUUCGUGCUUAAAAUUAAUCUUGUGACUUUUUUCAAGCGGUUGAGAAUUGUUUUAAAAAGAAAUUUCAAAUUGUGACAGAAAAAUAAAUGUAAAUUUUUUGUUUAGUUCGUACCAAAUUUCGUUCCAAUGUCAAUGUCAGGAAGUGUGCUACUUAGAAAUGUUAGAUGAAAAUACACUCAAAAAAAAACAAAACGUUUAAACCCCUCAACAAUGAUACACACAGGAGCACACAAUAAUCAAAACCCUGAUAAAUGGCGAUCUGCUUGGUGUAUUUGCGUUUUUGCUGACAUUAUACAUCUUUGAUGCGACGGUACCACAGACCACGAGACUUUUCAUAGGGUUUGCUGGAUUAGUCGAUCAAAGGCAAAUAUGAAUAAACUGUUUGUGGCACAAAUUCACCCUCCCAUCUGUAGAAAGAAAAAAAAAACCAAAUUAGAACAGAAAUACAGAUUACACUUAACCAACACUACAAACUCCAGUGUUUACACAGCACACACACCCACACACAUACUCAAUUCUCAGACGUUUCGAUUUCUUCGUCGAUGCUUAUUUAUAUGCAUCUUUUAUGCUCGCUCUGUACAUAGACAUAUGUAUUAGGAAAACGCAUCUAAAUAACAACCAAAAAUCGUGGUUUGUUUAAACUUACGUUUUUUUUUUUUUUUUUUGUGUGUUUUUGUGUUCGCCCAUAUCGUCGUUGUCGCACAUCAGGAAGUAAGCUUCGUUAAUUAACAUUGUCGCGGUUGGUUUUACCAAAAUAUCUGCCCGCCUAACAAUAUACAAUAAUAUUUUGGACGCAAUCGCCUCGUGGCAUCGCCAUAAAGGGGGUAAGCAGCUCUAACCGUUCAAAUACAGUUCUUGCACGGAAUCCAGUUGAACAGGAUCAUGAGGGUUGCGCGUCACUGUAUUAUCAGAAGCUGCAUAUUUGUUUGUUCUAAUAAUCGUCUAUCCAAAUAAAACCACAGAUGCAACAAACUCAUUCUUAUUUCGCUUAAUUUAUCUGGGUUUAAGUUGAGCUUGAAGAAAUAGAGGGAAAGGAAAGGAGGUAUCUCUCGUUACUUCUCCACUCUACUCGUUAGUUUUAAUAAAAUUAACAUUAAUUUGAUAUUCACUUGGAAGUGCUUAGGGGAAAGAUUGAGAGAUUUCUUUUAGCUGAAUCGAUUAGAUUUUGCCCUGCCAAAUAUGGCCCGCUCAACAUAAUUGUUUCAGAGUUUGGCGAAGCUAUGUACGUUUGGAAUUCAGUAGAAGCUGUCAAAUUUGCUGAAAGCGGCACAAGCUAUCGACUAUCGGAAACUAAUACUGCGUGGGCAAUAGGAGGACCUACAUUCCCUAGCUCUUGGCUCUGAUAGCCUUGCGUUCAAACGGAGGGACAAACGAACAUGUCUAUAGAUAGACUCGGCUAUUGAUGCUGAUUAAGAAUAUAUAUACUUUCUGGGUUCACAGAUGUUUUUCUUCCGGCCUUUUACAGAAAAAACUGGGUAUAAAAUUCGUCAUCCAAAUUCUUUCUAUCUGAUGGAGAGGAGUACAUAUUUUGCAGAAGUGUCGAUUCCGACUGCUCUAAUUUCCAUAGAUACUCGCAACUUCUUGGUACUCGUUAGUUUUCGGGUACUCGUUACUUUUCGGUGCUCGUUACUUUUCCGUACUCUUUACUUUCGGGUACUCGUUAGUAUAGGUUAAUUUUCAGUAAUUUUUACUCUUGGGUAUUCGUCAGUUUUUAGGGGCUCGUUACUUUUCAGUACUCAAUUCACGGUUACUCGUUACUUUUGGGCACUAGUUACCACGACUGCUCUACUCUCUAUCAGGUUACGCUUCAGUUUUGUCUUCUCGUCACUCUGACUAAUCACAUUCACCCGAAAUUAAUUAAGCUACUCGUUACUUUUGGGUACUCGUUACUUUUGGGCAGUCGUUGCUUUUGGUUUCUCUGAGAUACUUAAGACGUCGCAGAUAUAUACUAGAAAUCCAUAAGUUGGCCAUGUGAAUAGAAUUUGAUGCUGUAAAGUCAGAGCAGGCCUUGAAAUCGACAUAAAAAUGAAUGAGCCCAGGCGAAAGGCAAACAGAUUCAUUCCAGUUGGAGCUCCACUGGAGCCAACAGCUCUAGUUUUCUAAAUUGUUGUAUAAAUUUCAAAAUUUGUUCUGCUUUUUCUCUUUGUUUAUUUCUGUUGAGAGAAACAAAUAAAAUCAAAAAGUCCAAAAAUUCAAUUUGUUUCAAAGUUUCAAUGUUUCUAUUCAAUCAAUGUGAAAAUUUCAAAAAGUGUUGCAAAAUUACGUUCAGAAGCGGUUUGUAUGUUCGUGUGAAUGGGUGUGAACACAAUGAUGUUGUCACAGAUGCUCUUUGUACACGGCGCAAAAUUUUAAAUGCUCAAACAGAAGUCCAGAUCAAAAGUUUUACGCGUUUCUAUUUAUUUCUAACAACCAAAUAAUCGUAUUUCGUAACCAAGAAGGGAUUUGAUGUGAUUGUUUAUUUCACAAUUCUUAACUUUCAAUGUAUAUUCGCCCAGAGAAUCGGAAACUCUUGGAAUAGAUUGCUCAGUCAAGGGGUAAGUCCAUCCAGACAGAUCUCUCGAGCGAUCCCUCCGAUCCGUCUGGUAAUACUCCCCAUUCUGAGCACCUGCUCAUCUCGGGGAGAUGAGGACUCGUUGUCCUUUACAAUUUGCAAGACUCUCAAUGUUUGUCACAAGUUCAGAUCAUUCAAUUCAACAACCAAAAAAUAAAUCAGAAAUUCAAAAUUGUAAUUCGAAAAGCAAUUCUCUAAGCUCGACUUUGAGCUUCAUCUGAACGGAAAAAAUCGUAACAAGAAAUUAAUAAAAAAUACAUAAAUCAUAUCGUCACGGAAGAAGGCGAGGCCAAGCAACUCUCGAUGCGGAAGAUUCUACUCGAAAUUUAAUUUUAACAGCUGGCCUAACUCCUAACUACAAAAAUACUAGUCGUAAUGUCAACCAAAAACUGAAUCAAAAUUAAAUUAAACAAGAAUUGCAAUAAUAAAAAUAAAUAUGCAAGUUAAGACAUAAACAAUUAUUCUCUCAAUGCUGUGAGGGAAGAGGGGUUAAUUGGAUGGGAAGGGUUAAAACCCAGACUGUGAACUGAACCAUCAACAUGGUUCAAACUGAGACUAAAGAGAUAUAUAUUGGAGCAUGCCAAGGGAGUCAAUUGCAGAAAUCGUUUAUAGCUCCUAGUGUGUGUG